rnacentral:rRNA from 1 species
CCUACGGGUGGCAGCAGUGAGGAAUAUUGGUCAAUGGGCGCGAGCCUGAACCAGCCAAGUAGCGUGAAGGAUGACUGCCCUACGGGUUGUAAACUUCUUUUAUAAAGGAAUAAAGUGAGGAACGGGUGCCUUUUUGUAUGUACUUUAUGAAUAAGGAUCGGCUAACUCCGUGCCAGCAGCCGCGGGAAUACGGGGGAGCCGAGGGUUAUCGGGAUUUAUUGGGGUAAAAGGGAGCGUAGGCGGCCUGCUAAGUCGGGGGUGAGAGGUACCGGCUCACCCGGUACCGGCGCUGGAAACUGGGGGGCUAGAGCGCAGGAGAGGGCGGUGGAACUCCAUGUGUAGCUGUCAAAUGCGUAGAUAUCUGGCAGAACCCCAGUGGCGAAGGCGGCCGCCUGGCCUGUUACUGACGCUGAGGCAC